rnacentral:rRNA from 1 species
UAGGGAAUCUUCGGCAAUGGACGAAAGUCUGACCGAGCAACGCCGCGUGAGUGAAGAAGGCUUUCGGAUCGUAAAACUCUGUUGUUAGAGAAGAACAAGGACGUUAGUAACUGAACGUCCCCUGACGGUAUCUAACCAGAAAGCCACGGCUAACUACGUGCCAGCAGCCGCGGUAAUACGUAGGUGGCAAGCGUUGUCCGGAUUUAUUGGGCGUAAAGCGAGCGCAGGCGGUUUCUUAAGUCUGAUGUGAAAGCCCCCGGCUCAACCGGGGAGGGUCAUUGGAAACUGGGGGACUUGAGGACAGAAGAGGAGAGUGGAAUUCCAUGUGUGGCGGUGAAAUGCGUAGAUAUAUGGAGGAACACCAGUGGCGAAGGCGGCUCUCUGGUCUGUAACUGACGCUGAGGCUCGAAAGCGUGGGGAGCAAACAGG